GACGAACGCUGGCGGCGUGCUUAACACAUGCAAGUCGAACGGAAAGGCCCCUUUGGGGGUACUCGAGUGGCGCACGGGUGAGUAACACGUGAGUAACCUGCCCUUGACUUCGGGAUAACUUCAGGAAACUGGGGCUAAUACCGGAUAGGAAUCCUUGCUGCAUGGUGGGGGUUGGAAAGCUUCGGCGGUUUUGGAUGGACUCGCGGCUUAUCAGCUUGUUGGUGGGGUAGUGGCUUACCAAGGCUUUGACGGGUAGCCGGCCUGAGAGGGCGACCGGCCACAUUGGGACUGAGAUACGGCCCAGACUCCUACGGGAGGCAGCAGUGGGGAAUAUUGCACAAUGGGCGGAAGCCUGAUGCAGCAACGCCGCGUGCGGGAUGACGGCCUUCGGGUUGUAAACCGCAUUCAGCAGGGGCGAAGCUUGUGGUGACGGUACCUGCAGAAGAAGCACCGGCUAACUACGUG
rnacentral:rRNA from 1 species